rnacentral:rRNA from 1 species
CCGGUUGAUCCUGCCGGAGGCUACCGCUAUUGGAGUUCGAUUAAGCCAUGCGAGUCGCGAGUCUUAGGGACUCGGCGUACCGCUCAGUAACACGUGGGUAACCUGCCCUAUGCUGGGGGAUAACCUCGGGAAACUGAGAAUAAUACCCCAUAGUUCACCACGCCUGGAACGGUUGGUGGACCAAAGCUCCGGCGGCAUAGGAUGGGCCUGCGGCGUAUCAGGUUGUAGGGGGUGUAAUGUACCCUCUAGCCCUCUACGCGUACGGGUGUUGAGAGACAUCGCCCGGAGAUGGAUUCUGAGACACGAAUCCAGACCCUACGGGGUGCAGCAGGCGCGAAAACUUGGCAAUGCGAGAAAUCGUGACCAGGGAACUCCAAGUGCAUCGGGUAAGACCGAUGCUUUUCUUGACUCUUCAAAGGUCUUGGAAUAAGGGGUGGGUAAGGACGGUGCCAGCCGCCGCGGUAAUACCGGCGCCCCAAGUGGUAGUCGCUUUUAUUGGGCCUAAAACGUCCGUAGCCGGUCUGGUACAUUCGUGGGUAAAUCAACCAGCUCAACUGGUUGAAUUCUGCGAGCACGGCCAGACUUGGGACCGGGAGAGGUGUGGGGUACUCUCAGGGUAGGGGUAAAAUCCUGUCAUCCUGAGAGGACCACCUGUUGCGAAGGCGCCACACUAGAACGGAUCCGACGGUCAGGGACGAAGCCUAGGGGCACGAACCGGAUUAGAUACCCGGGUAGUCCUAGGUGUAAACGCUGUGGACUUGAUGUUGGGGGCGCUCCGAGCGCACUCAGUGUCGAAGCGAAGGUGAUAAGUCCACUGCCUGGGGAGUACGGUCGCAAGGCUGAAACUUAAAGGAAUUGGCGGGGGAGCACCGCAACCUGAGGAUUGUGCG